GACGAACGCUGGUGGCGUGCUUAACACAUGCAAGUCGAACGGAAAGGCCCUGCUUUUGUGGGGUGCUCGAGUGGCGAACGGGUGAGUAACACGUGAGUAACCUGCCCUUGACUUUGGGAUAACUUCAGGAAACUGGGGCUAAUACCGGAUAGGAGCUCCUGCUGCAUGGUGGGGGUUGGAAAGUUUCGGCGGUUGGGGAUGGGCUCGCGGCUUAUCAGCUUGUUGGUGGGGUAGUGGCUUACCAAGGCUUUGACGGGUAGCCGGCCUGAGAGGGUGACCGGCCACAUUGGGACUGAGAUACGGCCCAGACUCCUACGGGAGGCAGCAGUGGGGAAUAUUGCACAAUGGGCGGAAGCCUGAUGCAGCAACGCCGCGUGCGGGAUGACGGCCUUCGGGUUGUAAACCGCUUUCGCCUGUGACGAAGCGUGAGUGACGGUAAUGGGUAAAGAAGCACCGGCUAACUACGUG
rnacentral:rRNA from 1 species